UACGGGGGGGGCAAGCGUUGUUCGGAUUUACUGGGCGUAAAGAGCGCGUAGGCGGUUCGAUAAGUCGGAGGUGAAAUCCCUCGGCUCAACCGAGGACCCGCGUCCGAUACUGUCGAACUCGAGUGCAGGAGAGGAGAGCGGAAUUCCCAGUGUAGCGGUGAAAUGCGUAGAUAUUGGGAGGAACACCGGUGGCGAAGGCGGCUCUCUGGACUGCCACUGACGCUGAGGCGCGAAAGCUAGGGGAGCAAAC
rnacentral:rRNA from 1 species